GCUUACGGCCAUACCAGCUUUAGAACACCCGAUCUCGUCUGAUCUCGGAAGCUAAGAAGGCUUGGGCCUGGUUAGUACUUGGAUGGGAGACUGCCUGGAAAUACCAGGUGCUGUAAGCU
ensembl:rRNA 5S_rRNA 5S ribosomal RNA